UACGAGGGGUGCAAGCGUUGCUCGGAAUUAUUGGGCGUAAAGGGUAGGUAGGUGGUCUCAUUUGUCUGUGGUGAAAGCCCAGGGCUUAACCCUGGAAGUGCCGCAGAAACGGUGAGACUGGAGUACUGCAGGGGAGACUGGAAUUCCUGGUGUAGCGGUGGAAUGCGCAGAUAUCAGGAGGAACACCGGUGGCGAAGGCGGGUCUCUGGGCAGUAACUGACGCUGAGAAGCGAAAGCAUGGGGAGCGAACAGG
rnacentral:rRNA from 1 species